CAGUCGCCGCGGUAAUACGAAGGGGGCUAGCGUUGCUCGGAAUUACUGGGCGUAAAGGGAGCGUAGGCGGACUGUUUAGUCAGAGGUGAAAGCCCAGGGCUCAACCUUGGAAUUGCCUUUGAUACUGGCAGUCUUGAGUACGGAAGAGGUAUGUGGAACUCCGAGUGUAGAGGUGAAAUUCGUAGAUAUUCGGAAGAACACCAGUGGCGAAGGCGACAUACUGGUCCGUUACUGACGCUGAGGCUCGAAAGCGUGGGGAGCAAACAGGAUUAGAUACCCCGGUAGUCCCUGUCUCUUAUAC
rnacentral:rRNA from 1 species